rnacentral:lncRNA from 1 species
UUUUUUUGAGAGGAUUAAUAUUCAACAGCAUAGUGAUUGCUCAAAGACAAAAACAUUAUUUUAAGUUCAUUAGACCACAUUCAUUCUGUGUCCAAAACCUAUGCUGUGUCAACUAUUUAAUCACAAUCCAAAUUUAGAGCUGAAUCCAGCUUGAAUGUUGUGUCCAUACUUGCCCCAACCGUUCAGGGUUCAACCUAUGCGGUCGUAUAAAGCUGUGCCCUGCGGAGCAUCUGG